GCCCUGGGAAAAAUGAUGUCUGAGCUUCUCUCCAGCUCUCAGAGGAAGAUAAAGUGCUGGAAUCAGGUGGUUGAAGGAGAGGGCGCAGAGAUCUUCUCAGGCGUGAAAACAAGAUUCACUGCAAGUAUCCCAACAUUGGAUUCCUGUUAACUGCAAGAGCAGCUUAUCGAUCAACAUGGGAUGUCCAGCAGGGCAGAAGCAGACAUGUGUCUGCCCCACCAGUGAGUCAACCCCAGGUCAGCCCUAAGAGUUGGAGCUCAGGUGGGUGGGAGCUGCACUCACUUGAAAUGAGGAACACUG
rnacentral:lncRNA from 1 species